rnacentral:rRNA from 1 species
UAUAGCCUGAGAUCUGAUGGGUAGACGCAAGUCGAAAUCGGUGAUCCUAUGCUGCCAAGAAAAGCAUCGACGCGAGGUUCUAGCUGCCCGUACCCCAAACCGACUCAGGUGGUCAGGUAGAGAAUACUAAGGAGAUCGAGAGAAUCGUGGUUAAGGAACUCGGCAAAAUGCCCCCGUAACUUCGGGAGAAGGGGGGCCUGAGGCGUGAACGGACUUGCUCCGGGAGCGUUCGAUGGCCGCAGAGACCAGUGGGAAGCGACUGUUUACUAAAAACACAGGUCCGUGCUAAGUCGCAAGACGAUGUAUACGGACUGACGCCUGCCCGGUGCUGGAAGGUUAAGAGGAACGGUUAGCCGCAAGGCGAAGCUGAGAAUUUAAGCCCCAGUAAACGGCGGUGGUAACUAUAACCAUCCUAAGGUAGCGAAAUUCCUUGUCGGGUAAGUUCCGACCUGCACGAAUGGCGUAACGACUUCCCAGCUGUCUCAACCGCGAACUCGGCGAAAUUGCAUUACGAGUAAAGAUGCUCGUUACGCGCAGCAGGACGGAAAGACCCCGUGACCUUUACUAUAGUUUGGUAUUGGUGUUCGGUGUGGCUUGUGUAGGAUAGGUGGGAGACUGUGAAGCGGGCACGCUAGUGUUCGUGGAGUCAUUGUUGAAAUACCACUCUGGUCACUCUGGAUAUCUAACUUCGGACCCUAAUCGGGUUCAGGGACAGUGCCUGAUGGGUAGUUUAACUGGGGCGGUUGCCUCCUAAAGAGUAACGGAGGCGCCCAAAGGUUCCCUCAACCUGGUUGGCAAUCAGGUGUCGAGUGUAAGUGCACAAGGGAGCUUGACUGUGAGACUGACAAGUCGAGCAGGGACGAAAGUCGGGACUAGUGAUCCGGCAGUGGCUUGUGGAAGCGCUGUCGCUCAACGGAUAAAAGGUACCUCGGGGAUAACAGGCUGAUCUUGCCCAAGAGUCCAUAUCGACGGCAUGGUUUGGCACCUCGAUGUCGGCUCGUCGCAUCCUGGGGCUGGAGUAGGUCCCAAGGGUUGGGCUGUUCGCCCAUUAAAGCGGUACGCGAGCUGGGUUUAGAACGUCGUGAGACAGUUCGGUCCCUAUCCGCUGCGCGCGCAGGAAAUUUGAGAAGAUCUAUCCCUAGUACGAGAGGACCGGGAUGGACGAACCUCUGGUGUGUCAGUUGUUCCGCCAGGAGCACCGCUGAUUAGCUACGUUCGGAACGGAUAACCGCUGAAAGCAUCUAAGCGGGAAGCCGGCUUCGAGAUGAGAUUUCCAUCCCUUCGGGGGAGAGGCUCCCAGCCAGACGACUGGGUUGAUAGGCCGGAUGUGGAAGACAGGACUAAAGACUGUCGGAGCUGACCGGUACUAAUAAGCCGAUAACUUGAUAAUCACUACAUUCAUACCGUUGUAAAGGCUGGUAGGAGUGGUCAGAGAUUGCUUGCGUCCACUUUGUGGUUCCCAGAAUACGGGCUCCAUA